rnacentral:rRNA from 1 species
AUGUGGACCUGUCUUCGUCAGCGCUAUGAGCCCUCUGGUGAUGCCUUAUACCUUUCUGUGGUUCGUCAGGAGCAUGCUCUUCAGCAGGGUGACUCUACUGUUGAUGACUUUUAUGCACAGAGUUCUGCUAUCUGGCGCCAGCUUGAUUCUCUCCGCAGUGCUGGUUGUCGUACUUGCCCCUGUUGUCAGGCUGUCCAGGCCGAUUUGGAGUUUCAUCGCGUCUACGAGUUCCUGUCUCGGCUCCAUAAGGAGUUUGAGCCCCGGCGUGCUCAGUUGCUUGCUCGUGGCCGUAUUUCUCUCAUGGAGGCGCUUUCAGAGAUUCGUGUUGAGGAGACUCGCCUACGUGGUGCUGGUUUGCUGGAGGUUCCCUCUGUGCUCGCUACUCGGGUUUCUUCCACUCCGCCGGCUGCACCGCCCCAUUCUCGCUCGAGUGCUCCGCCGCUCUUGCCCACUCCUUCUGGAGGCUCAGGUCGCCCCCGUUCACAUUGUGACUACUGCAACAAUGAUGGUCAUAUUGAGUCCCAGUGCUACACCAAGCGGAAACACCUGCGCAAGGCGCGAUCCUCCUCCUCAGGGACUUCGUCA